rnacentral:rRNA from 1 species
UGCGUGGGCGGAUUAAUAAGUCAGUGGUGAAAUCUUUCGGCUCAACCGAGAAACUGCCAUUGAUACUGUUAAUCUUGAGUUCGGUUGAGGUAGGCGGAAUGUGUAAUGUAGCGGUGAAAUGCUUAGAUAUUACACAGAACACCAAUUGCGUAGGCAGCUUACUAGACCGACACUGACGCUGAGGCACGAAAGCGUGGGGAGCGAACAGGAUUAGAUACCCUGGUAGUCC